AGAGCUGAAUCUUUGCAGAAAUCCCCACCAUUUGGAGGUUGGAAGUUGUGAUUGUUGUGUCGGGAGCCAUCAAACCAGCAAAGGAGAAACCAGAGAGGAAACGCAGGAAGAGCACAGUGGCCAGUUAAGGCUCCUGCUCUCCAGAGACAGGCAGAGGGAGACCUGCACACGGAGAGGAGAAAGUGAAGUGAAGACAGAGCAGAGAAAGAUUUGAAGAUGCUGGACUUGAAAGUUGGGGUGAUGCAGCCACGAGCCAAGGAAUGCCAGCGGCCACCAGAGCUAGAAGACACAAGGAACCAAUUCCUCCCUAGAGCCCCCCAGAGGAAGCACAGCCCUGCCCACUCCUUGAUUUCCAUCCAGUGAUAACAGAUUUCAGACUUCUGACCUCUAGAACUGUGAGAGAAUAUAUUUCUAUUGUUUUAAAUGAACAGGUUUGUGGUAAUUUGUUACAGUGGCUGCAGGAAACUAAUACACAAGCUAAGAUGACUUUCUUUGUAGACAGUGCUGGUGAAUAGAGUGAAUGAAUAAACUGUAUCCAAACAGCAUUUGAAUAAUGGGUUGGAAAACUCAUUGAUAACGAGAGCAUUUCCAGGGCAUUUAUGGCAGGUUGCACAACUCUCUGCAAAGUGUUUGUCGUCAAGGGGUCUCUGGCCCCAGACAGUAGUGGAGUCUGUAAUGGAGGGCCGAAGGGCUCUGCGGUUAGCUCUGCCCAGGUCACUAUUUCAGUCAACUUUCCAGAUGGCAGAUGGUGAGAAACUAUGGCAUCAGAUAUGAAGGUGACGUAAUGUUGGGGGCAAGAGUGAAAGUGAUCACUGAGCUGAGAUGAGUUAUUUCGAUAGCUUGGAACUUUAGAAUGAAGCUAAGAUAAAACUGACGAGAGAGAAGGUUAGAUUUUAAAGAGAAAUCCAUUGCCCAAGUGCAGAACUGGUUGAGGGGGUCUGGCCAGGCUGUAGUUUCUGUGAAAAGGAGCUCGGGGCUUUAGUCAAGAAAGCUGUAUAAUUUUUUAUAAGAAGAACAUGAUUUGGGGUGCUUUGUGGGAGGGCAGUGUCCAGUUCAUGGUGGGGGGGGGGUGUCCUAGGUACUGACUGGUGGUUGGAGCAUAUUGGAUAACUUGCAUUUUUAACACCUCCUUCCUUUUUUUACAACGAGGGGCAGGACAGUAAGGAAUCAGGAAACCACGUGUGCUGGAUCACUGACCAUGUCCAUUCUCUGCCCUUCACCACUCUGCUCUUUGCCCCUGCAGGCUUCAGACUUUAUCACCCAGAAUAUCAGGCUCCCUAAUGCCAUGUUAUGUGUAACAAUACUUAGUGGCCUAAAGCAACAACAGUCAUUUACUGUCUCACAGUUUCUGUGGGUCUGGAAUCUGGGAGUGGCUUAGCAGGGCGGUCCUGGCUCAGGGUCUCCCAUGAGGUUGCCGUCAAGAUGCAAGAUCUACACUCACCCGAAGGGUUGACUGGGGCUGGCAGACUGGCUUCCAAGACGGCCACUCACAUGGAUGCAGUGCUCAUGCUGGCCGUUAGCAGGAGGCUUCAGUUCUUGACCCCAUGGACCUCUCCACGGGGCUGCUUGAGUGCCCUCACCCCGUGGCAGAGGCGUGAUCCCGGGGAGAGCAAGGUGGAAGCCACGAUGGCUGUUAUGACCUAGUCACAUCCUGCCCUUCCACAACAGAUUGCUCGGGUCAGCCCUCUGAAAUGUGGGAAGGGACUGAUUGCCGGAAGGUGGGGGUCCAUCUGAAAGGCUGGUUACCAUGGGAACAGGGACGGGAUGCCAUGUGGCUGGAAGGUGAUCGGGAGAGGCUGGAGCUGGAGGGUGUGAUGAAACCGUCCCCCACUCAGGCUGGCUGAGUUCCGGCCAAGCUCCGGGAUGAAGGUCUCCGCUCUGCAUCCUGUCAGUGGCACUUCUGCACGUGCUGGGAGGGAGUGGACGCCUCCUCUGAGCCCUGCCAGAACAUGUUACACUGUCCACAGAGCAGGGCUCCGGUGGAAGGUGACACAUCGUGAAGACAAGGGCUGUGGAGCUGCUGGCAGGAGACAAAGGCCUCCAUUGAGGGAAUAUGACAUCGGGGACCAGCCUGUCCACGGCCACCACGAUUGUCAGGAAACAGUAGGCAUUUCAAGAGGGCACAGGAGGUGUUGCUGAGACUCGGUCGUUGACACGCCACCAUGGCCGCACACCCUCCCCACUCUGCCGUCUCAGGGGCGGUGCCAAGGUUGCUGGGAUUUGUCUGAAAAGGUCAGUUGUUCAAAACGGCUCUUUAAAUACACAGUGUUUUCUGAGCUUCCUGCAGUUUGUUCCGCCCGGUUCGGGAUGGCGCUUUCUGUAUCCACCUUCCAAGUUUGUGAAGCACGAUUACCCGUUAGCACGAGGUGAGAAGAGAUGAAGAACCAGGAGAGGGUUUGCACAUGGCCGUUUGGGACGGCUGGAGGGCACGUGGAGGUUCUGUCUGUGUCCGUGACUUCUAGCUGAGGUCAGGUAUCCAGCAGAGUGCUGGCAGAUGCGCUGUCCUGGGUGCAGCAGCGAGGACAGUGGACUCAGCCGCAUGUCUGCUGGCUGGGGCUCUGUGGGCACCUUGGGGCUUGGCAUUGAGCAGAGCCCCCAGCUGCAUGAGGGUCUAUCCUUAAUGCUGUCAUGUGUUACACUGUUACCAGUGAAGUACACCUUUGCAGUGACCUCUCGUACCUGGGGAGCUACGAGCACAGGAAAAAAUCCCAUCAUAAGGACUUUCCUUGGGAAAUGUUCACUGGCUCCUGGAUCUCCCAAGGCAGGGGGCUCCUGUGGUAGGCCUGAGUGUUCCUGAUGGGAGCAUCAAGAAAGAACAUCUCUGGGAAAGAUUGUGCUGGUCGGACGCUUAAAGAUCAUAGGUCAAGGUGGAAGGCCGCCUGAAAUAUUCACGAGAGCUGUCGGGGAGGACAGGCUGGUAUUUUGAUCAGGACUCAGCCACUAAAUGAACGGAGUGAGCUUUGCAAGUUAGUUUGCGCCUCAUGGAAUGGCUGGCUGGCUUCCUGGCCUUCCAGCAUCUGCCCCCUCUUUUCUCGGCCUCUAAUUUCCUUCUGGGAAACUAUCUGCCCUUUCCCCACUCAGGUGCUGUCAGGGAGGUCGCUGGAGGGGACAUUGUUGGGAAGUAUGCGUAACUCCAAGCCAGCCCUUGCGUGCGCCCUGGUUUGAUUUACCUGAACGUCUGGGGUCCUGAACAGCUCUGAAUCAGCUGAAUUGUCCAUAAAUUGAACCAUAUUUUAACUGCAGGGGGAAGUUUGUUAGUUUAAAGGGAACGAGUUGAAAAUGUUUGUAAAAUCAAAACCAUUAUUUAGUU